rnacentral:rRNA from 1 species
GNACGGCGAGUGANAGGAAGAGCUCAAAGUUGGAACCUGUUUGGCCUAGCUAAACCGGAUUGUAGACUGUAGAAGUGUUUUCCAGGCAAGCCGAGUAAAUAAGUCCUUUGGAACAGGGCAUCAUAGAGGGUGAGAAUCCCGUCUUUGGCUUGAGCAUUUGCCUUUUGUGAUACGCUUUCAAAGAGUCAGGUUGUUUGGGAAUGCAGCCUAAAUUGGGUGGUAAAUCUCACCUAAAGCUAAAUAUUGGCGAGAAACCGAUAGCGAACAAGUACCGUGAGGGAAAGAUGAAAAGAACUUUGAAAAGAGAGUUAAACAGUAUGUGAAAUUGUUAAAAGGGAACCGUUUGGAGCCAGACUGGCUUGUCUGUAAUCAAUCUAGGCUUCGGCCUGGAUGCACUUGCAGGCUAUGCCUGCCAACGACAAUUUGACUUGAGGGAAAAAACUAGGGGAAAUGUGGCCCACUUGUGGGUGUUAUAGUCCCUUAGAAAAUACCUUGGGUUGGAUUGAGGAACGCAGCGAAUGCUUAUUGGCGAGUUUUCCAGGAAGGUUUUCUGAGGUACUACGGUAUCAAGGUUGAUCUUUUUGGUUAUACUUCUAUUCGCUUAGGUUGUUGGCUUAAUGACUCUAAAUGACCCGUCUUNAANNNACGGACCA